AACUUAGGAAGUGAGAGUGAUCCUUUGUUUCAAGGACAAACAGAUCAAAGCAGCGUAAACAAACCCGCGGAUAGCAUGUUGAGUCUGGAAGAAGAAUCGGUCAGUGACCCAGCUCAACAGAAGAUGAUUGUUGUUCGGAUGGAGACACAUUCGGAAUCUGAACCGCUUGAUAUGUGAGUUUUACAACUAAUUUUCAACCUUCUAAUCAUCUAUUUUAAGAGAGUUUCUUAACUUUUUA